rnacentral:tRNA from 1 species
GCCGGGAUGGCGAAAUGGCAGACGCGGCGGACUCAAAAUCCGUUGGGCGCAAGCCCGUGGGGGUUCGACUCCCCCUCCCGGCA